AGAGUUUGAUCAUGGCUCAGAACGAACGCUGGCGGCAGGCUUAACACAUGCAAGUCGAGCGCCCCGCAAGGGGAGCGGCAGACGGGUGAGUAACGCGUGGGAACGUGCCCUAAGGUACGGAACAACUCCGGGAAACUGGAGCUAAUACCGUAUGUGACCGAGAGGUGAAAGAUUUAUCGCCUUGGGAUCGGCCCGCGUUAGAUUAGCUAGUUGGUGGGGUAAAAGCCUACCAAGGCGACGAUCUAUAGCUGGUCUGAGAGGACGAUCAGCCACACUGGGACUGAGACACGGCCCAGACUCCUACGGGAGGCAGCAGUGGGGAAUCUUGGACAAUGGGCGCAAGCCUGAUCCAGCCAUGCCGCGUGAGUGAUGAAGGCCCUAGGGUUGUAAAACUCUUUCGUCAGGGACGAUAAUGACGGUACCUGAAGAAGAAGCCCCGGCUAACUUCGUGCCAGCAGCCGCGGUAAUACGAAGGGGGCUAGCGUUGUUCGGAUUUACUGGGCGUAAAGCGCAUGUAGGCGGGUCGUUAAGUUGGGGGUGAAAUCCCGGAGCUUAACUCCGGAAUUGCCUUCAAAACUGGCGGCCUGGAGCAGAAGAGAGGCGAGUGGAAUUCCGAGUGUAGAGGUGAAAUUCGUAGAUAUUCGGAGGAACACCAGUGGCGAAGGCGGCUCGCUGGCUUCUUGCUGACGCUGAGAUGCGAAAGCGUGGGGAGCAAACAGGAUUAGAUACCCUAGUAGUCC
rnacentral:rRNA from 1 species